UGCUCAAUGGAAUUACUCUCAACUACUGAGGCAACUUCCUGAGGUUGACCCAUACCCUGUGGAUUAUGGUUUUUCCCACUCUGUCUGGUGGGACUAGGCACAACUGCCAGCACUUUGUCAUGAUGCCAGAAUGAAAAACAUUCAGAUGAUAGCCAAUCAAGAAUUUUCAUCCAAUGGCACAAAUCUGAACCGCACAUCUCAGCUGGCUUUGAAACAGAAAUUACCUUUAUUAAAGUCUGAACUGAAAGUCAAAACAAAAUGUGGUGGCAGAGUCUGAAAUUCAAGAGUAUAAAAAGAGUCAAAAGCUAACCAGAACAUACAGUUUGACAAGAAAAUGGAGCAGAGGUCCAAAGAAUGUGCACAAAUAUUCAUGAAGCCUGAAAGGAGGGACCAGACAUUAUCAAGACAAGAAAAUGACCAGUAGAGAAAAUCUGGAGG